CCCCGCCCCCGAGGGUGCUAGUCCAGUCCCGUCUUCCCAGCAGGCCCCGCCCAUCAGUAACUUCCAGGUAUCCCUCUUGGCCCGCUUCCUCUAGGCCCCGCCCUCCGCAAUGGCCGGUCCAAUCGCAUCUCUCCGGCAGGCCCCGCCCAUGGAAACUCCGAGGGACCACCCCUGGGCCGCUUCCCCAAGUCCCCGCCCCUGCCGUCCCGCGCGCGCUGGUGGCUAGGGGUGCAAGUGGGGCCUGGCCAGGUAGGCGGCGGCGCGCACCCAUAGGGCCGUGUCCCCCCAGUCCAGUCCCUCGUACUAAGCCCGGAGACGCUGGAGGUCAGCCUUUCCGCGCCCAGCUGAAACCGCCUUUGCAAAAUUAUGACUGAGACGGUCUCUGGCUGGUGCUGUGUGAAGCACAGGCUGUGUGAUGUAGAGGUGGAGACAGAGAGGCCAGCGGGGAUCACAUGGUGACCCACAGGUGUGUUCAGAGUAGCAAGAGCUAGAGACGCAGGCACCCAACUUCUGUGGUCCCAGCAGCCCUUGGACAGCCCAGCCAAGGGCGGUGCUCACCAGUCCUUGUAGAAUCGGCGCCGGCACUCGUCACUGAGGUGUUCUGCAAAGAUGGUCUUGAAGCUCCGGAGACCUCGAGGGGUGGCCACAUAGCCCACCACGCCCACCACCACCAGGGGCGGCGUUUCUACAAUUGUCACCGCCUCCACUUCCUCCCGUUUGGAAAUUUCUGGGGUCUCACUCUGUCGCCCAGACUGGAGUGCAGUGGUGCAAUCAUAGUUCACUGC